rnacentral:rRNA from 1 species
GAUGAACGCUAGCGGCAGGCCUAAUACAUGCAAGUCGAACGGUGUAGCAAUACACAGUGGCGCACGGGUGCGUAACACGUAUGCAACCUACCUUACAUUGGGGGAUAGCCUUUCAAAAGGGAGAUUAAUACCGCUUAAGACAGUAACUAGGCAUCUAGUAGCUGUUAAAGAUUUAUCGAUGUAAGCUGGGCAUGCGUCCAAUUAGUUAGUUGGCGAGGUAAUGGCUCACCAAGACGAUGAUUGGUAGGGGAACUGAGAGGUCAAUCCCCCACAGUGGCACUGAUAUACGGGCCAGACUCCUACGGGAGGCAGCAGUAGGGAAUAUUGGGCAAUGGGCGCAAGCCUGACCCAGCCAUGCCGCGUGCAGGAAGAAGGCGUUAUGCGUUGUAAACUGCUUUUAUACAGGAAGAAACGACCCUUGCGAGGGGCAUUGACGGUACUGUAUGAAUAAGCACCGGCUAACUCCGUGCCAGCCGCCGCCGUAAAAC